UUCCGGUUGAUCCCGCCGGACCUGACUGCUAUCGGAUUGAUACUAAGCCAUGCGAGUCUUUGCAGUAAUGCAAGGCAUACGGCUCAGUAACACGUAGUCAACUUACCCUAUGGACGAGGAUAAUCUCGGGAAACUGAGCAUAAUACUCGAUAGAUCAUAAUGCCUGGAAUGGUUUAUGGUUGAAAUGAUUCGUCGCCAUAGGAUGGGACUGCGGCCUAUCAGCUUGUUGGUGAGGUAAUGGCCCACCAAGGCGAUUACAGGUACGGGCUCUGAGAGGAGAAGCCCGGAGAUGGGUACUGAGACAAGGACCCAGGCCCUAUGGGGCGCAGCAGGCGAGAAAACUUUGCAAUGUGCGAAAGCACGACAAGGUUAAUCCGAGUGAUUUCUGCUAAAGAAAUCUUUUGCAAGUCAUAAAACCACUAGUGAAUAAGGGGUGGGCAAGUUCUGGUGUCAGCCGCCGCGGUAAAACCAGCACCUCAAGUGGUCAGGAGGAUUAUUGGGCCUAAAGCAUCCGUAGCCGGCUCUGUAAGUUUUCGGUUAAAUCCAUGUGCUCAACGCAUGGGCUGCCGAAAAUACUGCAUAGCUAGGGAGUGGGAGAGGUAGACGGUACUCGGUAGGAAGGGGUAAAAUCCUUUGAUCUAUUGAUGACCACCUGUGGCGAAGGCGGUCUACCAGAACACGUUCGACGGUGAGGGAUGAAAGCUGGGGGAGCAAACCGGAUUAGAUACCCGGGUAGUCCCAGCUGUAAACGAUGCAGACUCGAUGAUGCAUUGGCAUAUAGCCAGUGCAGUGUCGCAGGGAAGCCGUUAAGUCUGCCGCCUGGGAAGUACGUACGCAAGUAUGAAACUUAAGGAAUUGGCGGGGGAGCACCACAAGGGGUGAAGCCUGCGGUUCAAUUGGAUUCAACGCCGGG
rnacentral:rRNA from 1 species